AUUGAACGCUGGCGGCAGGCCUAACACGUGCAAGUCGAGCGGAUGAAGGGAGCUUGCUCCUGGAUUCAGCGGCGGACGGGUGAGUAAUGCCUAGGAAUCUGCCUGGUAGUGGGGGAUAACGUCCGGAAACGGGCGCUAAUACCGCAUACGUCCUGAGGGAGAAAGUGGGGGAUCUUCGGACCUCACGCUAUCAGAUGAGCCUAGGUCGGAUUAGCUAGUUGGUGGGGUAAAGGCCUACCAAGGCGACGAUCCGUAACUGGUCUGAGAGGAUGAUCAGUCACACUGGAACUGAGACACGGUCCAGACUCCUACGGGAGGCAGCAGUGGGGAAUAUUGGACAAUGGGCGAAAGCCUGAUCCAGCCAUGCCGCGUGUGAGAAGAAGGUCUUCGGAUUGUAAAGCACUUUAAGUUGGGAGGAAGGGCAGUAAGUUAAUACCUUGCUGUUUUGACGUUACCAACAGAAUAAGCACCGGCUAACUUCGUG
rnacentral:rRNA from 1 species